rnacentral:rRNA from 1 species
UACGAAGGGGGCUAGCGUUGCUCGGAAUCACUGGGCGUAAAGGGUGCGUAGGCGGGUUUUUAAGUCAGGGGUGAAAUCCUGGAGCUCAACUCCAGAACUGCCUUUGAUACUGAAGAUCUUGAGUCCGGGAGAGGUGAGUGGAACUGCGAGUGUAGAGGUGAAAUUCGUAGAUAUUCGCAAGACCACCAGUGGCGAAGGCGGCUCACUGGCCCGGUACUGACGCUGAGGCACGAAAGCGUGGGGAGCAAACGGGG